GCUCCACUCCUCCGUCGAAUCCAUGUCGGUCCUCGUCGUCCAUUGACUCACGCCGCUUCUCCAUCGACUCACACUCACACACUCGAAUCCGACACCAAUCGAGUCCCAAAAUCCAGUAUCUGUGAUGCACUAUACGGACCAUCAUCGCCAGUUCUUCAGCUAACUCCUUCCAACUUCAAGUCCAAGGUAAGAUUUUAAAGCAGCUAUCAGAGAUAACUAGCAGGGAGGUUCUAACUUAUUUAAAUUCAUUCGGAAGUUUGGUUUGUAACUUAAUUUAAAUUCAUUUGGAAGUUUGGUUUGUAAAACUUAAUUUAUUUCAUUUUGGUUGCAUGCACUUUUAAUUAACUAAUUUGUUAGACAAUUGUGAACUUAAGCUUAACUUGUUAGUUGUUGCUUCCUUGGUAUAAAAAUUGAAACAGGUGUGAUAUUGAGAAUCUGUGAUAUUGUGAUGAAAUUGAAAUAGGUGGGCUGUGCAGCCUGUGCUUGUGCG